rnacentral:rRNA from 1 species
AUUGAACGCUGGCGGCAGGCCUAACACAUGCAAGUCGAGCGGCGCGGGGGACGGGGAAGUACUGACUAGGAAUCUGCCUGGUAGUGGUGGAUAAAGUCCGGAAACGGGCGAUGAUACCGCAUACUAUCGGAUGAGCCUCGGUCGGAUUAGCUAGUUGGUGGGGUAAAGGCGUACCAAGGCGACGAUCAGUACCUGGUCUGAGAGGAUGAUCAGCACCACGGGAACUGAGACACGGUCCAGACUCCUACGGGAGGCAGCAGUGGGGAAUAUUGGACAAUGGGCGAAAGCCUGAUCCAGCCAUGCCGCGUGUGUGAAGAAGGUCUUCGGAUUGUAAAGCACUUUAAGUAGGGAGGCGUUACCAACAGAAGAAGCACCGGCUAACUCCGUGCCAGCAGCCGCGGUAAUUC